UGUAUUUAUUAGAUUAAAAACCAAUGCCCUUCGGGGCUUCUUGGUGAUUCAUAAUAACUUCUCGAAUCGCAUGGCCUUGCGCCGGCGAUGGUUCAUUCAAAUUUCUGCCCUAUCAACUUUCGAUGGCAGGGUCUUGGCCUGCCAUGGUUACAACGGGUAACGGAGGGUUAGGGCUCGACCCCGGAGAAGGAGCCUGAGAAACGGCUACUACAUCCAAGGAAGGCAGCAGGCGCGCAAAUUACCCAAUCCCGACUCGGGGAGGUAGUGACAAUAAAUACUGAUACAGGGCUCUUUUGGGUCUUGUAAUUGGAAUGAGUACAAUUUAAAUCCCUUAACGAGGAACAAUUGGAGGGCAAGUCUGGUGCCAGCAGCCGCGGUAAUUCCAGCUCCAAUAGCGUAUAUUAAAGUUGUUGCAGUUAAAAAGCUCGUAGUUGAACCUUGGGCCUGGCUGGCCGGUCCGCCUCACCGCGUGCACUGGUUCGGCCGGGCCUUUCCCUCUGGGGAACCGCAUGCCCUUCACUGGGUGUGUCGGGGAACCAGG
rnacentral:rRNA from 1 species